CCUGCAAUUAAAAAGAAAAAGAAGAAAAAGAAGAGAAAGAAAAAAAAGAGCACAAAAAAAAGCAAAAAAUUU
rnacentral:ribozyme from 1 species